rnacentral:rRNA from 1 species
AACGAGCGCAACCCUUGUCCUUAGUUACCAGCACGUUAUGGUGGGCACUCUAAGGAGACUGCCGGUGACAAACCGGAGGAAGGUGGGGAUGACGUCAAGUCAUCAUGGCCCUUACGGCCUGGGCUACACACGUGCUACAAUGGUCGGUACAAAGGGUUGCCAAGCCGCGAGGUGGAGCUAAUCCCAUAAAACCGAUCGUAGUCCGGAUCGCAGUCUGCAACUCGACUGCGUGAAGUCGGAAUCGCUAGUAAUCGUGAAAUCAGAAUGUCACGGUGAAUACGUUCCCGGGCCUU